AAUGAACGUUGGCGGCGUGGAUUAGGCAUGCAAGUCGAGCGGGAAGCCUCCUUCGGGAGGUGGAGAGCGGCGCAAGGGAGAGUAACGCGUAGAUACGUACCCCUCGGUUCGGGAUAGCCACGGGAAACUGUGGGUAAUACCGAAUGACGUCCCCGGACCAAAGAUUUAUCGCCGGGGGAGCGGUCUGCGUCCUAUUAGGUUGUUGGUGGGGUAAUGGCCUACCAAGCCGAAGAUGGGUACCGGGUGUGAGAGCAUGGCCCGGCUCACUGGGACUGAGACACUGCCCAGACACCUACGGGUGGCUGCAGUCGAGAAUCUUCCGCAAUGGGCGAAAGCCUGACGGAGCAACACUGCGUGGUGGAUGAAGGCCUUCGGGUCGUAAACACCUUUUCUGGGGGAAGAAGUUCUGACGGUACCCCAGGAAUAAGCGACGGCUAAUUACGUG
rnacentral:rRNA from 1 species